rnacentral:rRNA from 1 species
AGGAUGAACGCUGGCGGCGUGCCUAACACAUGCAAGUCGAGCGAUUCUCUUCGGAGAAGAGCGGCGGACGGGUGAGUAACGCGUGGGUAACCUGCCCUGUACACACGGAUAACAUACCGAAAGGUAUGCUAAUACGAGAUAAUAUACUUUUAUCGCAUGGUAGAAGUAUCAAAGCUCCGGCGGUACAGGAUGGACCCGCGUCUGAUUAGCUAGUUGGUAAGGUAACGGCUUACCAAGGCGACGAUCAGUAGCCGACCUGAGAGGGUGAUCGGCCACAUUGGAACUGAGACACGGUCCAAACUCCUACGGGAGGCAGUAGUGGGGAAUAUCGCACAAUGGGCGAAAGCCUGAUGCAGCAACGCCGCGUGAGCGAUGAAGGCCUUCGGGUCGUAAAGCUCUGUCCUCAAGGAAGAUAAUGACGGUACUUGAGGAGGAAGCCCCGGCUAACUACGUGCCAGCAGCCGCGGUAAUACGUAGGGGGCUAGCGUUAUCCGGAAUUACUGGGCGUAAAGGGUGCGUAGGUGGUUUCUUAAGUCAGAGGUGAAAGGCUACGGCUCAACCGUAGUAAGCCUUUGAAACUGGGAAACUUGAGUGCAGGAGAGGAGAGUGGAAUUCCUAGUGUAGCGGUGAAAUGCGUAGAUAUUAGGAGGAACACCAGUUGCGAAGGCGGCUCUCUGGACUGUAACUGACACUGAGGCACGAAAGCGUGGGGAGCAAACAGGAUUAGAUACCCUGGUAGUCCACGCCGUAAACGAUGAGUACUAGCUGUCGGAGGUUACCCCCUUCGGUGGCGCAGCUAACGCAUUAAGUACUCCGCCUGGGAAGUACGCUCGCAAGAGUGAAA